rnacentral:rRNA from 1 species
UAAUGUCUGGGAAACUGCCUGAUGGAGGGGGGUAACUACUGGAAACGGUAGCUAAUACCGCAUAAUGUCGCAAGACCAAAGUGGGGGACCUUCGGGCCUCAUGCCAUCAGAUGUGCCCAGAUGGGAUUAGCUAGUAGGUGGGGUAACGGCUCACCUAGGCGACGAUCCCUAGCUGGUCUGAGAGGAUGGCCAGCCACACUGGAACUGAGACACGGUCCAG